UUUGCUUAAAAAAAAAAUGAGAAAAAGAAAAAGCCCAGACGCCCAAAAAUCCCUCGAUCUCACUUCGCGAAUAGAGCGGCUCAAUUUCAAAGUACUGUCACUCACCGGGCGUAGUAGGGAUUGGGGGGAAAAUUGAAGCCCAGCAAUACGACAAUGGCGUCCUCGUCGAGCAGCGGUUUAACAUUCAAGCUACACCCUCUUGUUAUAGUUAACAUAUCCGACCACUGUACUCGGGUCAAGUCUCAGAUGAACCCUCCCGUUACCUCCGCCGCUAAUACUACUUCUAACAACACCAACGGCGCGGGGGAUGGUGUCGUCACUGCUGUUUCAGCUGCAAUACCGCCACCGAGAGUCUACGGAUGCGUUAUAGGUGUGCAGAGGGGACGCACCGUUGAGAUCUUCAACAGUUUUGAGCUUC
rnacentral:misc_RNA from 1 species